rnacentral:misc_RNA from 1 species
AAGUCGUAACAAGGUUUCCGUAGGUGAACCUGCGGAAGGAUCAUUACCACAUCCAAAACUUAUCAACCCAUCUGUGUGAACCGUUGAGCUGUUUGGACGAAAGGACUCACGGCCGGUUUGAGAAUGUAUGUCUGUUGGCGUGUCACAGCGCCAACAGCAUAUACCUCACUCCGACUGCCUCUCGGAAUCUCGCUCACCUGUCCAUCAAAAACAACUGUUAAACUCUACUUUAACACAUGACAAACCAAAAAAACGAAACUUGAGAGACAACUUUUAACGAUGGAUCUCUUGGCUCGU